UACAGGAUCAGUGAAAGGUGA
rnacentral:piRNA from 1 species